rnacentral:lncRNA from 1 species
AUGCGGAUGCUGCAGAUAUACCUCAAGUCUCCACUAGAUUUCUCCGCCUCGAUGGUAGUGCGCCUGAGAUGAAGUACCUGGAUCUUCACAUGAAAAACAUGCACAUAAGAGGCAUUAGUACGCCACAAUGGUACUCAGUAAGUGCCAAACCUAACCUCGGUCGGGUAGUGACGACGAAGGUCAGGGCCCUAAUGAGAUUUAAAUAAUAUGAUAAGAAUGAUGACAACAACAUACAGUAAGAAGACAUAAUGGAAUACAACCGUGGAGUAAGUAAGACCAUACAAAUAACAAUCAACACACCGAGGAUGAAAUAACCCAGAGUAAAAAAGGUCAAAAUCAGUACCAAUUUACUAGGAUCUCCCAGGAUACCGUCCUGUAGUCCAUUUUCGUGUCAAUACCAAUAAUGAGGAUCUCUCAAGAUACCGUCCUGUAGUCCAUUCCCAUAAAUUGUAGGAUGCAUUUCAAUACCAAUAAUGAGGAUCUCCCAGGAUACCGUCAUGUAGUCCAUAUCAAUACCAAUAACGAGGAUCUCCCAAGAUACCAUCAUGUAGUCCAUUUCCAUAUCAAUACCAAUAACGAGGGUCUCCCAGGAUACCAUCCUGUAGUCUAUUUCCAUAUCACUACCAAUAACGAGGAUCUUCCAGGAUAUCGUCCUGUUGUCCAUUUCCAUGAUAUAAAUGUGCAGGGGGAACCUGGAAUCUAACCCGUAGUCCCAAAGUAAAUAUGUAGGGGGAUCUCUCAGGAAUGAAACCCGUAGUUCCAAAGUAAAUAUGCAGGGGGGUCUCCCGGGAAUCAAACACUUAGUCCCAAAGUAAUUAUGCAGGGGGAUCUACCGGGAAUCAAACCCGUAGUCCCAAAGUAAAUAUGCAGAGGGAUCUCCUAGAAAUCAAAUCCGUAGUCCCAAAGUAAAUAUGCAGGGAAUCAAACCCGUAGUCCCAAAGUAAAUAUGUAGGAGAUCUCCCGGGAAAAAAACCUGUAGUCCCAAAAUAAAUAUGCAGGGGGAAUCUCCCAGGUACCUCGCGCUCGCCACCUCGUGUACAAGGCACUCAAUUACCAAAUAACAUAUCCUAAGAGGAAGGUCCCCCACACAAGGUUAGAAAAUCCACUUACCUCAAUCGGCCCCAAAAUCAACUUUAAAUCACUCUUUUGCCACGAGUAUCCGACUCCAACUCGCCCAAAUCUAUUCAUUUCAAUUACAUCUCAUAAAUAACAUCUCAAGAAACUAAUUCUACUAUUUAAUUUAAAUCUAUGAUGUAAAUUUAGGUAAAAUAACCAAAAUGCCCUCAGGCCAACGUGGUCAAAACCUAAGGUUCGAACAAAAAUCCGGUUAUCCAUUCCCCCACAAACCCAAAUAUAUGAUUUGUUUUAAAAUUAGACCUCAAAUUGUUUUAAAAUCGAACCUCAAAUUGAGGUCGAAAUACCCAAUUAGAUGAAAAUUUAGAUAAAUUGACCAAAAUGCCCCUCGGACCAACGUGGUCAACACAUGAGGUUCGAACUAAAAUCCGAUUAUCCAUUCCCCAUGAAUCCAAUUAUGUGAUUAGUUUUGAAAUAGGAUCUUGAAUUGAGGUCCAAUCCCCAAUUUUAUCAAAACACUAGGUCCUACCCAAUAUACCCGAAUUUACCCAUUAAAAACUUCGAUUUGAUGUUGAAAUUAUGUUAAAUGGUGUUAAUGAGUGAAGAAAAUGAGUUAGAAACCACUUACCAAUCGUUUUGAAGAAAAAGUAUUGCUUAGAAAAUCGUCUUCUUAGGUUUUGAGUUUUUUAAAAGUGAGAAAUAACUGAAAAAUUCCGUAUAUUUAUAAUCUCUGGACCUCCUCGCGCGAUCGAUGACCGCAGCUGCGCUGGUGGAGCUAAAAUAUGUUAGUCCUCUGAAGUUGGCAGCAUGGACCGUGCGAGGGGGAUCGUGGCCGCGCGGCUCACGCCGCGGAUCGCGCCAGAGCGAACGCAGUCGUGCUAGAGGAACUGAAGGCUGUGGGUUCUCUGAAGCUGGCAGCGUGGACCACACAAGGAAGACCGAGGCCGGGUGGAUCAUGCCACAAACUGCUUGAUCACCACUACGGCCGCGCGAUGGAACCUACAGCUUGCAUUUGACCUGCAACAUCUGGUGUUUUAAGUCUAAGACCUCCCAGAACCUACUUGAAACUCACCAGAGCCCUCGGGGAUCCAAACAAAACAUACACAUCACUUCAAAAACAUCUUACGGACUUGUCCGUAGGAUCAAAUCACCAAAAUAACAUCAUAUACAUCGGAUCGAGCCUCAAAACUCAUGAUUUCUUCCAAAUUUCUCAUAUGACAUAAAAUGGCCAUUUUGGGUCUGAAACACAUCAAAAGACGUCAGUUUUCAACCAAACAUUACAGAAAGAGCUCCAAGCAUAUAUAAGACUUGUACCGGGUACCGUAACCAAAAUACGGGCUCGAUACCCAGUAUUCUAAUCAAAUUUCAUUUCCAUUUUCUUUAAUUAUUUCCAUAAAAUAAUUUGACAUAAAAAUCCAUUCCUCGAACUUGGGACCUCGGAAUCCGAUUCCAGGUGUAUAUUUUCCUACGAUUCCCUACGGGACCGUCAAAUCACGGGUCCGGAUCCGCCUACCCAAAAAUAUUGACCAGAGUCAACUGUUAACAUAUUAAUAUCAAAAUUCUGCAUUUUCACACAAAAUUCAUAUUUAAGCUUUUUCGGCUAUGCGCCGGGACUGCGCAAGCAAAUCGAGGAAACCCGAGAGGAGGUUUUAAGGCCUCGGAAGUACCGAACGGAAAAAAAUAAUAAUUGAUGACCCCAUUGGGUCGUCACAAUAGCCUUAAAUUGUAUUAUGCUUUCUUGUUUACACUACUUGGAAUUUAUAUAACGAGGAUACCAAAAGAUCCUCGGGAUACUAAGAGAUCCCUAGUAUAUAAUGAGGAUACUAAGAGAUUCUUGGGAUAGCAAGAGAUCCCUAUCUCAUAUUGAGGAUACAAAGAGAUCCCUGAUAUAGAUUGAGGAUACCCAAAGAUCCUCGGGAUAUUGAGAGAUCCCCGAUUAUUAUCCUUGUGAUCAUUUUAGCCUCUGUUUCAGUUAUUGUAUUCCUUACUUUCUCGUAUUACCUAUUGUUAGCUUGCAACUAAAUUGCUUAUCUUAUCCUCUUAUACCUUUUAUCUUAUUUUAUCUUAGUAGGCCCCUGACCUUCCUCAUCACCACUCAACGGAGGUUAGACUUGGCACUUACUGAGUACCUUUGUGGUGUACUCAUGCCCUUUUUGCACAUAACCACGUCUCUGGACAUAAUAGUUACUCUUAGGCGACUACUCUAGUAACUUAGAGGUAUAUCUUCCACAUCGGCAGACCGAGAAGUCUCCUUUUAUUCCCUUAUUAGUAUUUAGCCCUUUUGUAUUUUCUGUUUUGUUAGAAAUUUUGGGGUUAGAGCUAUGUAGUAUCUCUUAGCUUCUGAUUCAUGGGUUUUCGGGUUUUGGGAAUUGUUGUUAGUUUGAGAAGUUUCAUUGUUUAUGCUGAGUGGCAUUUUAAAUAUGCUUCAUUAUGUUAUCCGGUUUUAAAUUAUUUCUUCCACGAGUUUUGUUUAUUUUCAUAUUUUUAGGCUUACCUAGUCGUAUUUUAGAAAAUUCCACUUCAUUUCAUUCCUUAUCGUGUGAUAUUUAUUCAAUUUGAAGCCUAUAUCACAUGUUAUUUUUGCAUCCACUUGUGUAUUGAAAUUGCUCACUCGGCAUCAAUUAUACGCCAACGGCUCGUGAUGCUAUAAAAGGAUUAUAAGGGAGCCAAGAAUUUCUCAACCACUAUUAUCGCGUGUCAUCCAUAUCGAUAAUGCAGGUGUUUUGAUAGAUCAUUCAGUUGUGCACAUGAGGGUGCAAUAGGUUAUGGCAUAUGAUUGAUAAGUACUGUCUUAAGAAGGUUCACUUAAUUGCCUAAUCGUUGCGAUAGUAGUAGAGUCAUGAGGUUGGUGUAUAUCUGAAGAUACUCGGUGGUAGUAGAUACGAUGUUGUUCAUAUGAUAUUUUGAUUUUGGUGAAGGGUACAACUAGCAACCGAGAUACUGGAAGAAGUGAGUUCAACUGUCAAAAGGAUGACAUGCGCCAAACGAAUGGCUUGAGGUGUCUUAUGAUAGUGUUGUACGAUCGAUAAAGGCUAGUAUAUUGGAUUAUCAAAAUGUAUCCUAUGGCUUUGCACCAAGUGAAAGGAGUGCACUAUCAACGAUCAAAUAGUCAGGUCAUGUGUCAUAUCAGCUUUGGCCUGAGAUAUAUUUCUGUGGUGUUCAAAAGUCCUCUGAAACUUGUAUAUAAGUAAAAGAUGAAAUUUGAAUAGGAUGAUGCAGGGACAUGGAAAUAAUUUUGGAAUACUCGUAGUGCUUAAUCAACGCACUCACUUGGAACAAUCAUCAUUUAAUGCACAACUGGUAUAUGAUUCUUACAAUGGUUAUUCUAUUUAUCUGGUACAGACUUAGUAUGAGCAGCCAAACGUAGAUGGGUGUUAUGAAUGUUGUGAUACUAAGAACAUCGUGAGAGAUUGUCCCAUACUUGGUAGGAAUCUAUUUCAUCAAAACACUUAGUCCACACACUCCAUUACUAAUCUACAUAUACUAUAAGUUAAAGAUGGAGAACAAGUGUGUAGAUGGCGCCUAAGAGGUGGGGGCCCGACCCAAUUAUAUAAUUGCCAUGGUAUGGAUAGUGUCGCUACACCAGAUGGUGUCAUUACAUGUAUGAUCUCAAUGUGAUUAUAAAGUAAUAAUUUCAUUAAAUUGAUUCGGUUCUAAGUAUCUAAGAAAGUCCUAUAAAUAUGCUACACUCACGAGUGAGCUCCGUAAUCCUGAAAUUUACUUAUAUGAAUACUCACGUUAGGUUAUUAUAUGGAGAUAGCUAUUUCUAUCUUUAUGUGUUGGUCACUAAGAAUAGCUAUGAGGCUAAAAGUGACUUUCUAUUACUUACUACAAUGAGUUUUGAUGUGAUUUCAGGAUAAUUAAAUACAAUUGUGAAUUAUAUGCCCUACCAGUAUGAGAGUUCAUUAUAUGUUGUGAUUUUGUUUGACGAAAAUUAUUUUAAAAGAAGAAAGAAAAGAAAUAAAAAAUUUCAGUUGGCACAAUGUGCAAAUACUUGUGAUUUAGAGUUGAGGACGAGAUCCUCACAUUUUUAUAUAAUGUGAAAUAUUUUAAACCAGGAUACAAGUUACGGGGGAUCUUAUAUAAGGACGAGGUCCUGGUGGUGAAAAGUUUAUGCGUUUCAAAUUCUUCUUUUAUGAAAUAAAAUAAAAUUGUUAUAUUUUAAUAGGGAGUCAUGAGUGUUAGGCUUAUUUGUCGAUUCUUGCAUAUUUUGUGUUCAUAUUCGACCAUUUUUAUGUUGUAGUCGUUGAGUUUUAGCCUACGAGAUCGGUGCCCAGGUGGCGUUAAAUGUGACUCGUUAAUUCGGCUAAGUAAUUAUAAGGUCUCUAUGCCUCGUUGUGAUAAAGUGGAGGUUUGAAAUGAGAGAUUGGUAACAUAAGGUUAAUUGGCAAUGCUGUGAUUUAUGAGUAACAAUUAUGGCCAGAGACGUGGUGGUUAUGUGCAUACAUAUAUGUCACACCUCCUUUUGGCUACUACAACCCGGCGAAGGGCGUAGAUAAAGGAGUUUUUCCAAUUAAAGAACAAUCCAAAAGAGAUCUAAUUAUUUAAGAGAUUUUCAGAGUCUCCACUUGGGAGAUUUAUGGUGUCCCAAGUCACCAUUUGGAAUCUCGAAUCGAGGAAAGAAUGGCUCUGAUUAAUAGUCUGCGAACCAGAAAUCCGGGUAAGAAAUUCUGUUAACCCUAGAGUAAGUGUUAGGCAUUCUCGGGUCUCGUGGUCCAGCAUAGUCUCUCAACUGUUAUAUUUGACUUUUGUUAUUUGAUUUUAUAAAAUUAUGAACCUAUGUGCAUUUUGAACCUUUUAACCAUUUUUGUUAUUAUUUUUAAAGAGAAUCCCAAUGUCGUUUAAAAACGUCUUGUACCACGUCACAUAAAUGCACCUGCGGUCUUUGACAUAUUUUAACAUUAUUGAGAUUUAGAUUUGGGUCACAUAAAUGCGCACCCGAGUUUAAGUAAAUUAUAUUAAAAUAACACACCUAAAGCAACUACGCACUUUUAACUUUGCAAGGGCCAUGGAAAGUUCAACUAAUAGCACACCUCGAUUCUAAUUUCAAGGAAUCGUAGUUAUGUCACACGGACGUGUCCACAAUUACGACUUGUAUUUUGAAUGUGCAUAAAGGCUUUCCUACCAGGGUAGAUGACCCAAUCAUGCUCCAAACGGUCAAGUUAAUGAAUCAGUUUUCACCUUUAAUUCACAUACGCCACGACCAUUUAUCAUUGUUUUUCCUGCACUAAUUUCACUUUACAAUCAAGAAUUCAUAAAAUAGAAAUCAAAAUUCUUAGAGACUUUGAACUGACUUCAAACAAAAAUAACAGACAAAUCAAACAAGCAAUAUUAAUGAGCAAGACAAUUAAAGCCUAUCAAUCAAAGGCAAGCAUGAAACUCAUGUAAAGAUUUUCAAACAACAUUAUUACAGCACCAACAUGGAAAAUUAACCAAAAAUAAUAACCAACUUACCAAGAAUACAAAGUCAUUCAAGACAAAAACACUAGGUAGUACCACUUGAACUAAUUAAAGGAUAAGGAUAGAAAUAGACCUUUGUAUUUAAUCUGAGAUGUCAAAACCACGGACAAGAUCCUUAUGGGAAUGUCUCGCUGGAAACCUCAACAAAACAACCUCCACACAAGUCAAACUCAACGGCUCCAAACACGCACGCUAAACCAACCCGAAGCCCUCCUCUAUAUUUCAGUAAAUUCGAACUCACCCGAGUGCAAAUCAAACUCCACAAGAGGAAAUCAAAAUGCAUCUUUUCAGGUUUAAGAAGAAACAAAUGGAUCCCCUUUUUUGUGUUUCUUUUUUAUGAAUAAAAAGAAAGACAGAAUCGGAAAAUGAAAGGGUGGAAUGGAGCCUAAGACCCUCGUCUCCUCUCACUAUGUUGUUGUUCGUUUUGCUACUAUUUUUCGCUCAUUUUGAAGCAUGCUUGAGAAUGAUUUUGAGCUUGAAUUUUGCUCCUAUUUCUGGUCAAACUUCGGACUAUUUCAGGAUUCAAUCAGGUUUCAUGGCCUUUGUAGCAGUGAUUGAUGAAGAAUAAGAAACUGUGGCGACUGGUGGCCGUCGCUGGUGGAGUCAGCGAUUCUGUGCGUGUACUGGUCGUCAGAUGCCUUCGAAAGGGUGUUGGAGUUGGAAUGGCCUUGUGAAAUCAAAAAGAGAAAGUGCUGAUGGGAGGGUGGUUGGUCGCUAGGUCAUGUAAAAGUUUGGAGAUCAGGUUCAGGGGUCGUUUGGUCGAAUAAGAACAACAAUCGUCGGGGGAGGGGUAUUGUAAAAGUUAUGCAGCCCUUCAGGCGUCACUAUCCUUCUGUUUAGGGGUCUAUAUGUGUGUCUUGUGUAUAUAAUGCGUAUUAGGUUUUUAGGUGGUGAAAUGGGUUUGGGUGUUGGGCUGGAUCGG